rnacentral:rRNA from 1 species
CACAAGCAGCGGAGCGUGUGGUUUAAUUCGUUGCUACACGAAGAACCUUACCUGGGUUUGACAUAUAGGUUGUAGGGAACUGAAAGGGACCGACCCUUCGGGGAGCUUAUACAGGUGUUGCAUGGCUGUCGUCAGCUCGUGUCGUGAGAUGUUCGGUUAAGUCCGCUAACGAGCGCAACCCUCGCCGUAUGUUACAAGUGUCAUACGGGACUGCCGGUAAAAGCCGGAGGAAGGUGAGGAUGAUGUCAAGUCAGCAUGACCUUUAUAUCCAGGGCUACACACACGCUACAAUGGUCUGUACAAUUGGUUGCCAAGCCGCGAGGCGGAGCCAAUCCGUAAAGCAGGCCUCAGUUCAGAUUGCAGUCUGCAACUCGACUGCAUGAAGCCGGAGUUGCUAGUAACCGCAGGUCAGCAAUACUGCGGUGAAUACGUUCCCGGGUCUU